rnacentral:rRNA from 1 species
UACAGAGGUCCCGAGCGUUGUUCGGAUUCAUUGGGCGUAAAGGGUGCGUAGGCGGCGCGGUAAGUCGGGUGUGAAAUCUUGGAGCUUAACUCCGAAACUGCAUUCGAUACUGCCGUGCUUGAGGACUGGAGAGGAGACUGGAAUUUACGGUGUAGCGGUGAAAUGCGUAGAUAUCGUAAGGAAGACCAGUGGCGAAGGCGGGUCUCUGGACAGUUCCUGACGCUGAGGCACGAAGGCCAGGGGAGCAAACGGGAUUAGA